AUUGAACGCUGGCGGCAGGCCUAACACAUGCAAGUCGAGCGAGCGGCGGACGGGUGAGUAAUGUAUGGGGACUGCCCGAUAGAGGGGGAUAACUACUGGAAACGGUGGCUAAUACCGCAUACUAUCGGAUAACCCAUAUGGGAUUAGCUAGUAGGUGGGGUAAAGGCUCACCUAGGCGACGAUCUCUAGCUGGUCUGAGAGGAUGAUCAGCAACAGUGGGAAUGAGAAACGGCCCGGCAUCCUACGGAGGCAGGUGUGGGGAAUAUUGCACAGUGGGCGCAAGCCUGAUGCAGCGAUGCCGCGUGUAUGAAGAAGGCCUUAGGGUUGUAAAGUACUUUCAGCGUGGAGGCGUUAACCGCAGAAGAAGCACCGGCUAACUACGUGCCAGCAGCCGCGGUAAUAC
rnacentral:rRNA from 1 species